rnacentral:lncRNA from 1 species
GUCCUCCUGGCCCAGCUGGCCAGCCUGGAGAUAAGGGUGAAGGUGGUGCCCCCGGACUUCCAGGUAUAGCUGGACCUCGUGGUAGCCCUGGUGAGAGAGGUGAAACUGGCCCUCCAGGACCUGCUGGUUUCCCUGGUGCUCCUGGACAGAAUGGUGAACCUGGUGGUAAAGGAGAAAGAGGGGCUCCGGGUGAGAAAGGUGAAGGAGGCCCUCCUGGAGUUGCAGGACCCCCUGGAGGUUCUGGACCUGCUGGUCCUCCUGGUCCCCAAGGUGUCAAAGGUGAACGUGGCAGUCCUGGUGGACCUGGUGCUGCUGGCUUCCCUGGUGCUCGUGGUCUUCCUGGUCCUCCUGGUAGUAAUGGUAACCCAGGACCCCCAGGUCCCAGCGGUUCUCCAGGCAAGGAUGGGCCCCCAGGUCCUGCGGGUAACACUGGUGCUCCUGGCAGCCCUGGAGUGUCUGGACCAAAAGGUGAUGCUGGCCAACCAGGAGAGAAGGGAUCGCCUGGUGCCCAGGGCCCACCAGGAGCUCCAGGCCCACUUGGGAUUGCUGGGAUCACUGGAGCACGGGGUCUUGCAGGACCACCAGGCAUGCCAGGUCCUAGGGGAAGCCCUGGCCCUCAGGGUGUCAAGGGUGAAAGUGGGAAACCAGGAGCUAACGGUCUCAGUGGAGAACGUGGUCCCCCUGGACCCCAGGGUCUUCCUGGUCUGGCUGGUACAGCUGGUGAACCUGGAAGAGAUGGAAACCCUGGAUCAGAUGGUCUUCCAGGCCGAGAUGGAUCUCCUGGUGGCAAGGGUGAUCGUGGUGAAAAUGGCUCUCCUGGUGCCCCUGGCGCUCCUGGUCAUCCAGGCCCACCUGGUCCUGUCGGUCCAGCUGGAAAGAGUGGUGACAGAGGAGAAAGUGGCCCUGCUGGCCCUGCUGGUGCUCCCGGUCCUGCUGGUUCCCGAGGUGCUCCUGGUCCUCAAGGCCCACGUGGUGACAAAGGUGAAACAGGUGAACGUGGAGCUGCUGGCAUCAAAGGACAUCGAGGAUUCCCUGGUAAUCCAGGUGCCCCAGGUUCUCCAGGCCCUGCUGGUCAGCAGGGUGCAAUCGGCAGUCCAGGACCUGCAGGCCCCAGAGGACCUGUUGGACCCAGUGGACCUCCUGGCAAAGAUGGAACCAGUGGACAUCCAGGUCCCAUUGGACCACCAGGGCCUCGAGGUAACAGAGGUGAAAGAGGAUCUGAGGGCUCCCCAGGCCACCCAGGGCAACCAGGCCCUCCUGGACCUCCUGGUGCCCCUGGUCCUUGCUGUGGUGGUGUUGGAGCCGCUGCCAUUGCUGGGAUUGGAGGUGAAAAAGCUGGCGGUUUUGCCCCGUAUUAUGGAGAUGAACCAAUGGAUUUCAAAAUCAACACCGAUGAGAUUAUGACUUCACUCAAGUCUGUUAAUGGACAAAUAGAAAGCCUCAUUAGUCCUGAUGGUUCUCGUAAAAACCCCGCUAGAAACUGCAGAGACCUGAAAUUCUGCCAUCCUGAACUCAAGAGUGGAGAAUACUGGGUUGACCCUAACCAAGGAUGCAAAUUGGAUGCUAUCAAGGUAUUCUGUAAUAUGGAAACUGGGGAAACAUGCAUAAGUGCCAAUCCUUUGAAUGUUCCACGGAAACACUGGUGGACAGAUUCUAGUGCUGAGAAGAAACACGUUUGGUUUGGAGAGUCCAUGGAUGGUGGUUUUCAGUUUAGCUACGGCAAUCCUGAACUUCCUGAAGAUGUCCUUGAUGUGCAUCUGGCAUUCCUUCGACUUCUCUCCAGCCGAGCUUCCCAGAACAUCACAUAUCACUGCAAAAAUAGCAUUGCAUACAUGGAUCAGGCCAGUGGAAAUGUAAAGAAGGCCCUGAAGCUGAUGGGGUCAAAUGAAGGUGAAUUCAAGGCUGAAGGAAAUAGCAAAUUCACCUACACAGUUCUGGAGGAUGGUUGCACGAAACACACUGGGGAAUGGAGCAAAACAGUCUUUGAAUAUCGAACACGCAAGGCUGUGAGACUACCUAUUGUAGAUAUUGCACCCUAUGACAUUGGUGGUCCUGAUCAAGAAUUUGGUGUGGACGUUGGCCCUGUUUGCUUUUUAUAAACCAAACUCUAUCUGAAAUCCCAACAAAAAAAAUUUAACUCCAUAUGUGUUCCUCUUGUUCUAAUCUUGUCAACCAGUGCAAGUGACCGACAAAAUUCCAGUUAUUUAUUUCCAAAAUGUUUGGAAACAGUAUAAUUUGACAAAGAAAAAUGAUACUUCUCUUUUUUUGCUGUUCCACCAAAUACAAUUCAAAUGCUUUUUGUUUUAUUUUUUUACCAAUUCCAAUUUCAAAAUGUCUCAAUGGUGCUAUAAUAAAUAAACUUCAACACUCU